rnacentral:rRNA from 1 species
ACACAUGCAAGUCGAACGCAACCUUCGGGUUGAGUGGCGGACGGGUGAGUAACGCGUGAGAAUCUGCCUUAGGGUCGGGGACAACCACUGGAAACGGUGGCUAAUACCGGAUACGCCUUCGGGUAAAAGAUUUAUUGCCCUAAGAGGAGCUCGCGUCUGAUUAGCUAGUUGGUGAGGUAAGAGCUCACCAAGGCAGCGAUCAGUAGCUGGUCUGAGAGGACGAUCAGCCACACUGGGACUGAGACACGGCCCAGACUCCUACGGGAGGCAGCAGUGGGGAAUUUUCCGCAAUGGGCGAAAGCCUGACGGAGCAAGACCGCGUGAGGGAGGAAGGCUCUUGGGUUGUAAACCUCUUUUCUCAGGGAAGAAGCUCUGACGGUACCUGAGGAAUCAGCCUCGGCUAACUCCGUGCCAGCAGCCGCGGUAAUACGGAGGAGGCAAGCGUUAUCCGGAAUUAUUGGGCGUAAAGCGUCCGCAGGUGGCGAUUCAAGUCUGCUGUCAAAGCACGGGGCUUAACUCCGUAAAGGCAGUGGAAACUGAAUAGCUAGAGUGCCGUAGGGGUAGAGGGAAUUCCCGGUGUAGCGGUGAAAUGCGUAGAGAUCGGGAAGAACAUCGGUGGCGAAAGCGCUCUACUGGACGGCAACUGACACUCA